rnacentral:rRNA from 1 species
AUUGAAUGCUGGCGGAAUGCUUUACACAUGCAAGUCGAACGGCAGCACGGACUUCGGUCUGGUGGCGAGUGGCGAACGGGUGAGUAAUGUAUCGGAACGUGCCCAGUCGUGGGGGAUAACGUAGUGAAAAUUACGCUAAUACCGCAUACGAUCUAUGGAUGAAAGCGGGGGAUCGCGAGACCUCGCGCGAUUGGAGCGGCCGAUAUCAGAUUAGGUAGUUGGUGGGGUAAAGGUCCACCAAGCCAACGAUCUGUAGCUGGUCUGAGAGGACGACCGGCCACACUGGAACUGAGACACGGUCCAGACGCCUACGGGAGGCAGCAGUGGGGAAUUUUGGACAAUGGGCGAAAGCCUGAUCCAGCCAUUCCGCGUGCAGGAUGAAGGCCCUCGGGUUGUAAACUGCUUUUGUACAGAACGAAAAGGUUUCUACUAAUACUAGGAGCUCAUGACGGUACUGUAAGAAUAAGCACCGGCUAACUACGUGCCAGCAGCCGCAGUAA